rnacentral:rRNA from 1 species
GUCCUUUUGUCUAUAAAUAUAAGGUCUGACCUGCCCAAUGAUUUAGAUUUAAUGGCCGCGGUAUAUUAACUGUGCUAAGGUAGCAUAAUCAUUUGUCUUUUAAUUGAAGGCUAGUAUGAAUGGUUGGACGAGACAUAAACUUUCUUUGACUUAAUUAAUGAACUUAAUUUUUUAGUUAGAAAGCUAAAAUUUGUUUGAGGGACGAGAAGACCCUAUAGAUCUUUAUACCUAUAAUUAUCAUAUAAUUUAGUGAAUUAAUUAUUAUAAUAAUUAUAAGUAUUUGGUUGGGGUGACUAUAAAAUUUAACAAACUUUUAUUUUUGUUUUUCAUGAAUUAGUGUUUUAUUGAUCCAAAAUUAUUGAUUAAAAGAUUAAGUUACCUUAGGGAUAACAGCGUAAUUUCUUUGGAGAGUUCUUAUCGAUAAAGAAGUUUGCGACCUCGAUGUUGGAUUAAAAUUAGUUUUAGGUGUAGAAGCUUAAAAACUAGGUCUGUUCGACCUUCAAUCUUUU